CCCGCCUCCCAUUCGUCAGCCUAGCACCUAAGGUGGGGGCAUUCUUGCUCAGAAAAACAGGCUCCUUGAAAUUGGCAGGAUUUUCGCGUGUUUCUCACUGCAAAACAUUAGGAAGAUCUGUAAAAUCUCCUCUAGGAUCUUGAGGGAAGAGUCUGGGAACCCCGGGAAGUGAGCGAAGUAAGUCUGUGGGCUUGUGAGAUCGUGGCUCAGUGAGUAAAGGCAUUUGCCACCAUGCCCGGAUAACCUGAGAACUGUCUCCAGAACCUGCAUGGAAGAAGGCUGUGUAUGAUGGCAUUAUGUGCCCCUCCCCCACAAAUAUGCUCCCAAAAUAAAUACCAUGUAACUUUAAAACUUUUAAAUUAAAAACCACUUGGUUAUGCUUGUCUGAGGGUAGCUUUUGGUUUUCUAUUAUGCUUAGAUAUUUAUUAUUUUGC
rnacentral:lncRNA from 1 species